GUGUCAGCCGCCGCGGUAAUACGUAGGGUGCAAGCGUUGUCCGGAAUUAUUGGGCGUAAAGAGCUCGUAGGCGGUCUGUCACGUCGGAUGUGAAAACUCGGGGCUCAACCCCGAGCCUGCAUUCGAUACGGGCAGACUUGAGUUCGGCAGGGGAGACUGGAAUUCCUGGUGUAGCGGUGAAAUGCGCAGAUAUCAGGAGGAACACCGGUGGCGAAGGCGGGUCUCUGGGCCGAUACUGACGCUGAGGAGCGAAAGCGUGGGGAGCGAACAGGAUUAGAAACCCUCGUAGUCC
rnacentral:rRNA from 1 species